rnacentral:rRNA from 1 species
AUACGGAGGAUGCGAGCGUUAUCCGGAUUUAUUGGGUUUAAAGGGAGCGUAGGUGGGAUAUUAAGUCAGCUGUGAAAGUUUGGGGCUCAACCUUAAAAUUGCAGUCGAUACUGGUUUCCUUGAGUACGGUACAGGUGGGCGGAAUUCGUGGUGUAGCGGUGAAAUGCUUAGAUAUCACGAAGAACUCCGAUCGCGAAGGCAGCUCACCGGGCCGGAACUGACACUGAUGCUCGAAAGUGCGGGUAUCAAACAGGAUUAGAUACCCUGGUAGUCCGCACAGUAAACGAUGAAUACUCGCUGUUUGCGAUACACGGUAAGCGGCCAAGCGAAAGCGUUAAGUAUUCCACCUGGGGAGUACGCCGGCAACGGUGAAACUCAAAUGAAUUGACGGGG